GACGAACGCUGGCGGCGUGCUUAAUACAUGCAAGUCGAACGAAAAGGCCCUGCGUUUGUGGGGUGCUCGAUUGGCGAACGGGGGAGUAACACGUGAGUAACCUGCCCUUGACUUUGGGAUAACUUCAGGAAACUGGGGCGAAUACCGGAUAGGAGCUCCUGCUGCAUGGGGUGGGUUGGAAAGUGUCGGCGUUGGUGUAUGGACUCGCGGCUUAUUAGCUUGUUGGUAGGGUAGCGGCUUACCAAGGCUUUGACGGGUAGCCGGCCUGAGAGGGUGACCGGCGACACUGGAACUGAGAGAGGCUCCAGACUCCUACGAGAGGCAGCAGUCGCGAAGCUUCCGCAAUGGGCGGAAGUCUGACGGAGCGGCGGCGCGUGAGUUAUGAAGGUCUUCCGAGCGGAAAACUCUGUUAUUAGUGAAGAACAAAUGUGUAAGUAACCAUGCACGUCUUGACGGUACCUAAUCAGAAAGCCACGGCUAACUACGUG
rnacentral:rRNA from 1 species